GUGGGGAAUAUUGGACAAUGGGGGGAACCCUGAUCCAGCCAUGCCGCGUGUGUGAAGAAGGCCUUUUGGUUGUAAAGCACUUUAAGCGAGGAGGAGGCUACCGAGAUUAAUACUCUUGGAUAGUGGACGUUACUCGCAGAAUAAGCACCGGCUAACUCUGUGCCAGCAGCCGCGGUAAUACAGAGGGUGCAAGCGUUAAUCGGAUUUACUGGGCGUAAAGCGCGCGUAGGUGGCCAAUUAAGUCAAAUGUGACAUCCCCGAGCUUAACUUGGGAAUUGCAUUCGAUACUGGUUGGCUAGAGUAUGGGAGAGGAUGGUAGAAUUCCAGGUGUAGCGGUGAAAUGCGUAGAGAUCUGGAGGAAUACCGAUGGCGAAGGCAGCCAUCUGGCCUAAUACUGACACUGAGGUGCGAAAGCAUGGGGAGCAAACAGGAUUAGAAACCCUUGUAGUCC
rnacentral:rRNA from 1 species